ensembl:lncRNA
CCCACAUCUAUAGAGCGAAGGACUUUGGGCCGAAUUUGAAGAGAGCCCGCACGGAUAGUGUGGACGACCUGAGCGGACAGGCUGCACCCAGGCUAGAGGUCAAAUUGGAGCUCCAGCUGCUGGCCUACGCCACAGCCACAGCAACUCGGGAUCCACACUGCGUCUGUGACCUACACCACAGCUCAAGGCAACACCAGAUCCUUAACCCAUGGAGCAAGGCCAGUAGGGUUGCCAAGCCUGGAAAAUAUGAAUAUGGGACUGCCAGCAGCCAUCCUCCCACAGCAAGAAGUGAAGUCACCUCAGAAUGAAGCAGACAGAGACAGGAGCAGGAAGGCUCCUGGGGAAGUGAGCUUUGCUUCUGGUCCCUUGAGAACCCUGGUUUCUGCAGCUCAUCCUUUGACUGUGAGAGCUGCUUCAGGGUCCUUCCUCUUCAGUGGGCUAAUAAACAACCUUUCUGCCUUGGCUUUUAACUGACCGAGGCAUGACUAAUACCAUGGGGACAGCUGCUUUGUUGGAAUCAAAUUAUAUUCCGUUUGUGCUAUAAUCCUAUUCUGAGGAUCAAUUAAUUCUUCCAACAACAUGAAAUGAGGUCCAUUUGGCAUGAAGUGGGCUUGGCAAACCAGUUGAGGCCUUUAAAUAAUCACCUUUUUUUCAUGGUCACAAAUCAUCCUGGGAAGAGACAUCAAGUUCCCCUGGGUAUAGUGUCUGGAAUAUAUAUUUUUUCCUUUUAUGAAUCUGAAGACAGCAGCUAUUCGCAUUUAGUCUUAUGUCAUCGCCUCUGACAUAUUUUCUCAAAGAUCUGUAAGAAAGGCUUUGGGGUCAGAGUCUAAAGCACUUUCAAAGUAUGCUGGAAUAGAACGCACCUGAAUUGAAAGGGUUUUUUUACCCCAUUUAAGGUAACUCGGUGCUUUCUACUGCUGCACCUUGGCUUUAAUUUCCUCUUACUGCUAUUUUCCUUACUCUUUAUAGCUUGAGGAUCCUUUUCUUUGAUAGAGAAAAAUGCAAGCAAAAUAGACAUGGGGUAUUUCUGUUUUCUUUCAGUUGUCUGAGCACAUCAUAUCAUGUGGUCUCAAAGCAGUGGGAUUAUCUCCUCCUUGUUCUUCUGGCUCUUCCUAUUAAGCAUUAAAAUACCCCCUCCCCCAAUACAAAAUAAAAGCCCCUUUUGUUGUUA